rnacentral:lncRNA from 1 species
AAUUAAUAUAUGCUCUAUAAAAUAAUUUGAAGACCACGAUAUCCUUAACAAGAACAAUAACCAUUCAAAAUCUAUGAGGCCUCAAAAACAUAUUAAUUAAUCUUUAACAAUUAAGCAGUCUGCAUCUUUAAUUACAAAUUAUUUUUUAAUCAAUUAAGCCGAUUGUGUUGGGGGUUAGAGAGCGAUGCAGCUGAGAUCGAGAGAAUGAAGACAACGGAGCCGAGAGAGUGAGGGAGCCAGAGCCGAGAGAGUGAGGGAGAUCGGAGCCCAGGGAGCCAGCUAGAUGCUUCAAGCGAGAGACGAGAGAGCUGUCACUGUUGCUGCGUCGUGAGGGAGAACGGAGCUGAUAUCAAGCUUGUGUGCACACGGGAGAGAGAGAAAAAUGUUGCUGUGUGGUGGAGGAGAAAAGAGGGAGACGGGAGAGAGAGAUGGGAGGAACGUUGCUGCAGGAUUUGUUGCGUGCGUGUGUGGCGUUGUUGCUUGCACGUGUGAAUGGCUUUAUACUUUGCACAAAUCGAACCGUUUUGUGCAAAGCUUUGUGCUGAGUUUUGUGAGAACAUCAUUUUCCAUGCUCUUCAUAUGUUGUAAGUCGAGAAUUUUGACAAUCUAGAACCGGUACUUUUGUCAAUUUGGCUCUGAAUAUAUUCAUUUGAUGUGACUGUCGAUGUUUGACUUGUUUAAUCCUGCCUACCAUCGACGGCCGUUCUCCCCCGUUGUCAUUGAUUUAUAUCCAUAUACACAUGUUCACAUCGUUGCUUGCUUCAAUCAACCCCACUCGUGGGGUUGUGAGCGAUUGCUUUGGCAAAGAAUAUUGUUUUGACAGUUUGAUUUUGAAUUCUGGGGUUGGUGAUAGUCGCCCGCCGGUUUAUGACUCCAGAUCAACUUGAAGCUGAGUGUCCCUCGCUUUAUUAAACCUACACUGAGAAAAACGGCCCGACGAGUGAACAACUUGAUUAGUUGAAGUUGACGCUGACGAGCUCAAACUUGGCUUUUGGGGUUACUGAAGACUGAUUUAACCUUUAAAUAGCACAUCACAAUUUGAUUUAAAAGUCAGAUUAUAAUGUUUUUAGUUUUAAUCGAGUAAUUUUGAAACAGAAAUCAAAUUUUGAAACGAAGUAAACUUAAAAAUCAAUUUGAAUUCCAACCUGUCUCGUACCUUCUAAUAAAAUUUCACCUUUACUGAGGGCAGAAUUUGGACUGUGUUUUGUAAACCUCUAAGAUACAUAGACUAUCGACGUAAUACUCAAUCUAAAUACGCACGUACAAAGGUGCAUACCAUGAUACCAACAUUGUUCGCAAACAAGGAUUUAUUUUGUCAAAAAGAAUCCAAACCUUAAUAAACCAUACCACAAGAUGAGAUUUAAAAUAAUAAAAAAAAAAUAAUCACAUCGACCUACAUUAUGAUUAAUGAUAACAUUAACUAACAAAUGGUUAGAUCUUUAAAAAUAAAAAGUCAACAAAACUAGUAUCCGGACAGCGGGUCAGGAUCCAAAUGGAUUAUUACGGGGCCACGCUGCCACAACCAGUUCCAGUUGGACACGCCUUAAAAAGGCCAUUUGAAUAGAAUCUUUUGCAAGCCUUGCGGCUUAUUUUCCAGUUUUUAAACUAUUAAGCAAACAAAUCCUUUUUCAUGAUGCACGCACAGAACAAGUUCGUCCGCGCAGGACGGGACCACAAGCAAAUCAAGAACUCCUCCUGUUUGUCCACCAUAACAUCAUUAGGUACCCUUACUACCUAAUCUGCUCGUGCACAUGCUGAACAUAUUAUUAUUAUUAUUUUCAUUUGAAGAAAUUUGCUUUUGCUAAUAAAAAGAAAUAAAUGUAUUUGUAAAACCCAAAGAAGAAGCAGAAGAAGAAGAAGAAGGAGAUAGAUAUCAUUAACUCACUGCUCCAUAUCGCCAUCACGGCAUGUGCGCACAUUAGCACAGUUUGUUUCCUCACAGAACAGACUUUGACUUUGACUUAGUUCACUUUUCGGGCUUUACUCGUUGCCUCGCCGACGGUCUCCA